AGUCGUCUGAAAUACUCGUAGUUUGCUGUAUGUAUUUUGACCUAACACUCUUUGAUCAGGGAGUCCAAUAGGUUUUCUUGCAGCGCACACGCCUCUUAAGGAGGACUUGCAAAACAAGAAACAGGGCACCCACCUGUAAUUAGCAGGCCAAAAUGAUCAAGCUCU
rnacentral:other from 1 species